AUUGAACGCUAGCGGGAUGCUUUACACAUGCCAGUCGAACGGCAGCGCGGACUUCGGUCUGGCGGCGAGUGGCGAACGGGUGAGUAAUGUAUCGGAACGUGCCCAGUAGCGGGGGAUAACUACGCGAAAGCGUAUCUAAUACCGCAUACGCCCUACGGGGGAAAGCAGGGGAUCGUAAGACCUUGCACUAUUGGAGCGGCCGAUAUCGGAUUAGCUAGUUGGUGAGGUAACGGCUCACCAAGGCGACGAUCCGUAGCUGGUUUGAGAGGACGACCAGCCACACUGGGACUGAGACACGGCCCAGACUCCUACGGGAGGCAGCAGUGGGGAAUUUUGGACAAUGGGGGCAACCCUGAUCCAGCCAUCCCGCGUGUGCGAUGAAGGCCUUCGGGUUGUAAAGCACUUUUGGCAGGAAAGAAACGUCGCGGGCUAAUACCCCGUGGAACUGACGGUACCUGCAGAAUAAGCACCGGCUAACUACGUG
rnacentral:rRNA from 1 species